AAUCAACGCUGGCGGCGUGCCUAACACAUGCAAGUCGAACGCCAAAGCCCCGCAAGGGGUAAGUAGCGUGGCAAACGGGUGAGUAACACGUGGGCGACCUACCUCAGAGUGGGGGAUAACCUUCCGAAAGGGAGGCUAAUACCGCAUGACAUCCUAUGUUUGGAUACAUGGAGAUCAAAGCCGGGGAUCGCAAGACCUGGCGCUUGGAGAGGGGCCCGCGUCCGAUUAGCUAGNGGUGAGGUAACGGCUCACCAAGGCUUCGAUCGGUAUCCGGCCUGAGAGGGCGGACGGACACACUGGGACUGAGACACGGCCCAGACUCCUACGGGAGGCAGCAGUGGGAAUUGUUCGCAAUGGACGAAAGUCUGACGAC
rnacentral:rRNA from 1 species